CGGGAGGCAGCAGUAAGGAAUAUUGGUCAAUGGGGGCAACCCUGAACCAGCCAUGCCGCGUGCAGGAAGACGGCCCUCUGGGUUGUAAACUGCUUUUAUCCGGGAAUAAACCCCCUUACGUGUAAGGGGCUGAAUGUACCGGAAGAAUAAGGAUCGGCUAACUCCGUGCCAGCAGCCGCGGUAAUACGGAGGAUCCAAGCGUUAUCCGGAUUUAUUGGGUUUAAAGGGUGCGUAGGCGGCCUGUUAAGUCAGGGGUGAAAGACGGUGGCUCAACCAUCGCAGUGCCUUUGAUACUGACGGGCUUGAAUACACUUGAAGUAGGCGGAAUGUGACAAGUAGCGGUGAAAUGCAUAGAUAUGUCACAGAACACCGAUUGCGAAGGCAGCUUACUAAGGUGCAAUUGACGCUGAGGCACGAAAGCGUGGGGAUCAAACAGGAUUAGAUACCCUGGUAGUCCACGCCCUAAACGAUGAAUACUCGAUGUUAGCGAUAUACAGUUAGCGUCUAAGCGAAAGCGUUAAGUAUUCCACCUGGGGAGUACGCCCGCAAGGGUGAAACCCAAAGGAAUUGACGGGGGCCCGCACAAGCGGAGGAGCAUGUGGUUUAAUUCGAUGAUACGCGAGGAACCUUACCCGGGCUUGAAAGUUACUGAAGUAUCCAGAGAUGGAUGCGUCCGCAAAGGACAGGAAACUAUGUGCUGCAUGGCUGUCGUCAGCUCGUGCC
rnacentral:rRNA from 1 species